rnacentral:lncRNA from 1 species
AGGAAAACAAGCUCAGGGCUCCCAUUGAUUCUACAUUAUGCACUUGCUACAGGGGAAGUGAACUGCUAUGUCCUGAGAUAACUGAGAGGUUGUGGAGAGUGACUCCAUGAGUCUGUGGAGAGGUCAAUAUGACAAAGAACUGAAGCUUGCCAAUAGCCAUUUGAGUGAGCUUGGAAGUGGACCUUUCCCCAGGAGAGGAAGGGUAUUCCCGUUCAUCCCAGUAAUGCUAAUCGAGGAAAUGGUCCUCGAGGAAAUGACGCUGCAGCAACAGCAUCACCUGGGGACUUGUUAGCAACAGAAGUUCUCAGACUCCGCCAUAGAACUACUGAAUCAGAAAUUCUGGAAUAAGGCCCAGCAUUCCAUGUUCUAACAAACCUUCCAGGUGACUGUAAUGUACAUUCAAGUUUAAGAACCACUGUAAUAGACCCAUUUCUUGGUUGAUUAAAUGGAUCUUAUAUUGUAAAUAAGCAGAAUAGUCAAAUGUUCCUUCACACAAUAGGCUAGGGCUGCUAUUUGACAGGAUCAUGGUCGUUUUAACAGGAGGAAUAUGAUGAAUCUGAAAAAUGGAAACAAUAUUUGCAAUGGCAGUUGUGUGUCCCUAUGCAACAUGAGGUGGGGAGGCCUUGAGGAUUCCACUGAUGGAAAGAAUUGAGCUGAAAUCUGAGCACCUGCCAUCCUCUUCCUCCUCUCCCCUCCCAACAUCUGCAUGGAACCACAGCCCUCCCCUCUUUCCUUUGGAGCC